rnacentral:rRNA from 1 species
UACGGAGGGUGCAAGCGUUAUCCGGAUUUAUUGGGUUUAAAGGGUCCGUAGGCGGGCUCGUAAGUCAGUGGUGAAAUCUCACAGCUUAACUGUGAAACUGCCGUUGAUACUGCGGGUCUUGAGUAAGGUAGAAGUGGCUGGAAUAAGUAGUGUAGCGGUGAAAUGCAUAGAUAUUACUUAGAACACCAAUUGCGAAGGCAGGUCACUAUGUCUUAACUGACGCUGAUGGACGAAAGCGUGGGGAGCGAACAGG